CAAUUUUGAGUCGAUCUAACUGAACAACCCGAUCAAGAGAAUUCUUAUGCGGGGUGAAAUCGAAAAACACUAUCUACAGUACAGGAAUAAACACAAUAUUGAAGUAACGUAAUUUGUUACCUGUUUCCAUCGUUGACAUCAUGGCAUAAUGGUAGACAUCGUGGCCAUCAUGAGCGAAAGUUGUGGACCAUUCCCGGGUAAAAGUCUCGUAACUUUUCGUAUUAUUUUUUUAAACUUUUUUUUGCCAUUAUUUUUUCCAAAAGUCUUCAAAUUGCUCCUCAUAACAGCUUAAUACUCAUAUUUUGGUAAUAUUUUGUAUAUUUGGACAAUUUUGAGUCGAUUUGACCAACGAUGACGAGGGCAUGAACAACGAUGUAUAACGAUGAAGAGAAUCUUAUGUAGGGUGAAAUCCAAAAAAUCUACAUACAGCUAGUACAACGGGAAAUAGAAUAUUUAUGUAUUGACUAUUGUAUUUUUUUACCUAUUUCAUCGUUGACAUCAUGGUAUAGUGGUAAACACCGUGGCCAUCAUGAGCGAAAGUUGUGGAGCAUUCCCAGCUAAAAGUCUUAUAACUUUUCGUAUAAUAUUUUCUUUAUUUGUUUUUGCCGUUAUUUCAGUCUCCAAGUCGCUCUUCAUAACAGCUUAAUACUCAUAUUUUGAUAAUACUUUGCAUAUUUAGACAAUUUUGAAUCGAUUUAACUGAACGACGCGAUGUAGAGAAUUCAUAUGCGGGGUGGAUAUACUAUCUACAGUACAGCAAUAAACACAAUAUUGAAGUGCUGUAAUUUGUUACCUGUUUCAUCGUUGACAUCAUGGUAUAGUGGUAAACAUCGUGGCC
rnacentral:lncRNA from 1 species